GACGAACGCUGGCGGCGUGCUUAACACAUGCAAGUCGAGCGGAAAGGCCCUGCUUGCGGGGUACUCGAGUGGCGAACGGGUGAGUAACUCGUGGGUGGUCUGCCCUGCACUUCGGGGUAAGCCUGGGAAAGUGGGUAUAAUACCGGCUACGUGCAAUUUUUAGUGUGAUGGUUGGAGAGUUUUUUCGGUGUAGGCUGAGCUCGCGGCCUAUCCGCUUGUUGGUGAGGUAAUGGGCGACGAAGGCGGCGACGGGUAGCCGGCCUGAGAGUGUGCACGGCCACAUUGGGCCUGAGGUACGGGCCAGAGUCCUACGGGAGGCAGCGGUGGGAGAUAUUGCACACUGGGCGGAAGCAGUAUGCAGCGACUCCGCGUCGUGGAUCACGGCCGUCGGGGUGUAAACUCCUUUCGCGAGGGACGAAGCUUUUUUUGCCGUUACCUAGAUGAGAAGCACCGCCUACCUCCUU
rnacentral:rRNA from 1 species